rnacentral:rRNA from 1 species
UACGAAGGGGGCUAGCGUUGCUCGGAAUGACUGGGCGUAAAGGGCGCGUAGGCGGUUCGUACAGUCAGACGUGAAAUUCCCGGGCUCAACCUGGGGGCUGCGUUUGAUACGUGCGGGCUUGAGUUCGGAAGAGGGUCGUGGAAUUCCCAGUGUAGAGGUGAAAUUCGUAGAUAUUGGGAAGAACACCGGUGGCGAAGGCGGCGACCUGGUCCGAUACUGACGCUGAGGCGCGAAAGCGUGGGGAGCGAACAGG